UUCUCUUCUUGUCCAUACUGGCUCCUGCUUCUUCAGUAAACCUGCCAGACGGGAUAUUUGCCACCUUCAUCACCUCGUGCCGCGCCUUCGAACCGCUGUCAAAUUGGAGUACAGCAGACAAAGCAGCCAUUUUGAUUGCCUUUGGGCUCUUAUACUUGUGCUUUAGUGCUUUAGACCAGACUAUUCCAUUCAGGCUUUCAUUCUGGUUUGGGGAAUAGCUUAUCAUACCAUACCUUGUAUUCAUCCGAAUCAUUAUCUGCCUUCUGUUUGUUACACAAAGUACAAAUCUUUGACCGAAAACCAUAAUCAAGAACUUGGCCUGUCUCUACAGGUAUAAUAAAUCCAUAGGAAGCUGUAUGUCCCCUCUUUGACCAAGUACCAUUAUACAUUUAUGUCCUUCUUGAAAUGCUUGGUGAACAUUUGACAAAUUGAAGAAAAGAUAGCCAGAGUCUUCACUAAAAUAUGGCUUUGAUGGGUCCCCCCAGUGUAUCAAUUUCUUCGUCACCGUCCAUACUCCAUAGUGGCAUUUGUACCCUCUCAUACGUCUACAGAUGAUACAAUUUUCUUCUCGCUUGCUGUAAGUGGCCGGUUUUCUUCUGUCUCGCAAGUGUUAGUAACAUGUAGUUCUGAAACUUCAUGUCCAGAAAUGGCCGACUGGUUAAUGUUGGCUCAACGCGAUAUUCAUCCACUAAUUUUGCCUUUUACCAUGAAGGAAUGCCACAAAAUUUGUCUUUAACCUUUCGUCUAGGCAUUAUUUAUAUAAACUUGGAAAAAUAGGCUGUGUUGUUAACGUAAAUUCGGGUGAAAUACUUUCAAAAAGUCAACAAUACUGCAUGAGAAAAACUUCCAAAACAAUAUGGCGACGUGUGACAAAUUUUAUACCAUUUCCCAACCCCCCCUGACAAGCACUUGUUCCCAGGACAUUUAGAAACAUAUUUUGAACACGGUCAAGUUAAAACUUAUGCAUAUUUAUGGUAUUUACCAGUUUUAAAGGCCGAUUUUUAAGCAAAAUUUUACCCGUUACCAUGGAUACGGAUUAAGAAAAUAUCAUUUUAUACAUUGUUAUUCACAAAAAGUCAAAUAUCUCGGGAACUAAGCGGAAUUUUAG